GGGAGGAGGUGGGGUUGCGCUGGAUGCCGCCUAAUGGGCCAUCAAAGCCGAAUCCGAACUUGAAUUCUGUGCGGCUGAUUGCAGAGCUGGUCUCGGAUCGGCGACCCCCCCCCCACCCGCCCCGGUGGACAGAGAUCGGCUGUUAG
rnacentral:lncRNA from 1 species